rnacentral:lncRNA from 1 species
UGUGCUCCUUGCCGGGGUGGGGGUCGUUACCGAGUGGGAACUUCUGCAAAUCCUGACUUUUGUCACUUCGCGCCCCGCACAAGAUGUCCUGCCGGCGGUGCGAUUGGUCCCGUUGCUUCGAGGGGAAACUGAGGCCACUUAGUCCGGGCACUUACCCGCAGCUAGUUAAGGACUAGGCUCUGAUGGAGACGCUUGUUACGACCUCAAUGGCCUGUAGAAUCUGGGAGGCCGCCUCCGACCUAAGCCCAAAAAGCACAUGAUCGGGCUCACAGGGGGCGGCCAGAGGUGAAAACAGCCAACGCUUUACAACGACGCUGUGCGGGGCACUUCGUGUGUGUCAUCCCGUCUCAUCCUCGGGUGAUAGGAACUGUUCAUUCGGGAAAAUUGCAAACAACUAAAUACCCCUCACCAGGAGCUGGCCCAUUAUAGCAACUCUGAGACCUCUCUACCGCAGGCUCUUAAAAUGGGACACCGCCGCCCGCCCCUCGGGCACCGGACACAGGCGCGGCUGAGGACUGACGGCCCCCUGGAAGCCACUCGGGAGUCCUAGAUUUUGCUGAAGGAAGAAGGGGCUGGAGAAAAUAAAAGGGCAGGAGUCUGGAGUGUGAUAACUGUGGCUUCGUCUCAUUUCCACCCGCCAAGACUAAAACUUCCCUCAUCUGCUCAGCGUGAGACCCCAGCUCAAAGACGACACACGGAGAAGGGAGCCAAGCAGCACUGACCGAUGUGGGCAGCGUUAUUGCCGACCAGGAAUUUGUCCCUGGACUUCCCCUCCGCACUGCUCCAUGCUCACCUUCCUCUUCUCGGGGGUCUCCACCAGCUGCCAGCUGUUGGCCUUGAGGUGGUAGAGUUCAUCGAACUUCAUGCUGAUAUCCUCGAUGGACAGCUGUAGCAGGUCCCAGAACCCUGCCAGGUCCUGGGCUGUGGGGCGUGGGUUGGCAUCAGGGUUCUGUGGGCCAGAUGGGGAUCAGUGGGGCCAGCUCAGCAGAGGCUUGUCCUGCUCCCCCCAACCCCCCAACAAGCAGGGUUCCUCUGGGCCCUGCCAGCACCCGCGGGGGCUCUUGAGGCCUAGUGUCUGGGGAAGAAACAGAAGUUCUUGGCCAUGGUGUGACAGUGACACCGAGAGAAGCCCGAUUCACUCCCAGGUUUCUGCUCACAGGUCACCUGGCCAGGGAUGCCCUCCCUGACCACCCUGAAUGCAACAGCAACACCGACCCUGCCUGUGCAGUGGACACUAUACUGCUCUUACCCUUCCUGGUUAGUUUUCAUCCCAACAGAAUUUUUCUGAGGAACUUGAUAUACAAAUUCUAUAAUUUAUAUUGGAAGAAUGAAGAUACAAGAAUAGUUUUUCUUUCUGCACAAAAAGGAUAAAGAAGGAGCACUCACCAGAUACCAAGGCGUGCUACAAAGCCAUGUGAUUCUGUCCAAGCUUAACAGUGGAUGUAACUGCUUCUUUGCUGUGGCAGAUUGUAUUUUCUGAAGGCCCCAACAGUCUCUCCUGUCCCUCCUCCUCUUCUGAAACCUUGAUACUUCCCUAUGAAGA